UGCCUGAGUGAACAAAUCUAAGUGUUUUCU
rnacentral:piRNA from 1 species